CCCAGCCCUCGGCCAGCCCAGGAGGAGUGCAGGGAAGGCUGUCCCUGGGCUCCCCGUCAGCGAAAGCGGGAUUUCUCUGCAGUGAGCCCCGUCUGGCUGUGGCUGUCCUGCACUGCCUCUUGUCUGUGUCUUCCAGACCCUCAGAAGCCAAUAACGGCCCCCCAGCUCUUCCCCACUUCUCCGCAGGCUGCAUCCCUGAGGCGCCCAUGCAGCCAGGCCAGCACCCCUCGGAGACCCCACCAGCUUCGGGGUCCUCAGGCUACAAAGGCCCCACCCAUUCCUGGAGUCCUGGCAACCCCUGAGUUCUCUGGGGAAGGGGGCCAUAGAGCUCCCUGUACAGCAAUCUCAAAAAGCAAAACCAGAUAUAAAGGCAACUAGACGCCAGUUAGAUUUCCUGAAGACAAUUUCCUCUCCUCCUUCAUUACUCACAGGUUUUCCGGGUCCCCUCCCUCCCUCCCCAGACCCAAGUGGGCUGAGGGCUGGUUCUCUGUAGCGUCCCAGGAGGAAAGAAGCACAGCAGGGAGCUGGUCGUUCCAGAACCUUCUCCUCCAGGGUCAGAAUGGGCGGGAGUUGCCUUUGGUGUCCACUUUAGGGGCAAGUGCAUCCUGCCUCUCGCCAGGAGGACCCCUCCGUCUACUCACUGCUGCCCCUCGCCAGGAGGACCCCUCCGUCCACUCACCGCUGCCCCUCGCCAGGAGGACCCCUCCGUCCACUCACCGCUGCCUCUCGCCAGGAGGACCCCUCCGUCCACUCACCACUGCCCCUCGCCAGGAGGACCCCUCCGUCCACUCACCGCUGCCUCUCGCCAGGAGGACCCCUCUGUCCACUCACCGUCUGGGAUGGACUUUGGAGGUGGAGCCAGCCACCCCCUGACCUCCCAGCUCCUGCCUCUCACACCUGGGGAUACAGGCAGGACUAGGUCCAGGAAGUGAAAGUGUCCUAAGGAAAGAUGGAGCGGCGUCCACUCCCGCCCAUGUGGUGCCCAGUGCGGAGUGGUGCCCGGUGCGGAGGAGCGGCUGGGCAGGCAGAGGUCGGUUUCUGAUUCUCCCUCCUCAAAGAUGUCCGGUCCAGCAGCAGGAUGAGCAGCACCAUGGGAAGGCCACAUGUUUCACUCACACGACCCAGGAGGGCGUCCUAACCCUGCCGGGGAGGGACGCCUUUGGAAGGGUCAGAAGCGGGUGGUGGCAGGCUGUCUGGGGCAGGGACUGUGGUGUGAAAGUUUGUCAUUUCCAGGGCCAGGAGGUCCCUGUGGGCAUGAGAAGGUCACCUGAGUUUAUAGGGAAGUCAGCUUGUGACAAGCCUUACUGGACAUUCAUUGCCACUGCCCUUUAUUCUGCCAGGAGCUGGGGUGGCCUGGAUCACAGCUGGGGUGGCCUGGAUCACAGCAGGGGCCACAGGAGGCUGUGGCUGUAGCUCAUGGACCCAGACCUGGGGGACCGUGGGAAGGUGUGCAGGAGCAGCCUGGUCCAAGUCGUUCCCCACCCCCGGGGUGCCUGGCACCCACUCUCUGGCCUGCUGCAGGAGAAAGCUCCCAGCAGGGGAUAAACAGGCUCCUCAGUCCCUCCUGGCUCAGACCCCGCAAGUUAGGACCUUAGGGGCUUCUCAAAGCAAACUGUUCAGCCUGCAAUGGACGCCAAGAGCGGAGGCCGGAAGUAAGACGACGUAGGUGGGAGAAACAGGGGCCCUGAGGGCCAGCGUGUCCGUGAGGAAAGAGCCCUCCAGUCACACAUGUUUCAGGAAAGGAAAGUUGCAAUGCUGAGGCUCUGACAGUCACCCCCCACCCCUGUCCCCCGAAAACAAAGUGCCACAAACAAAGCAGGUUUACCGUGGAGAAGGCCCUUGUGUGGAGACUGAGAAACGCAGACAGAGCCCCGUGGAGGCCUGAGCUCGGGGCCACCAGGAGCAGCUGAGCUUCCAGGGGACCUUCGUGCCAAGGCCCACACCUGCCGCUCCACAAGGCCGGCAUCCCUGGGGUCCCUCCCCAGCGGCACAGCAGCCUGAAGGAGACACCCGGAGCCCCUCUCAAGGUCACGGCUGUCGCUGUGCUGAGUGGGUGGGGACAGCGUCUCCAGCUCGGCACCCCUGAAGAACUGUGUUUCAGUCCGGCAGCCUAGUGUCCUCUAGGCUAUGUGGGUCUUGGUCAUUUUAGAAUCUAAUCGUUUCUGUCUCUGUCUCACUUUCAGGGGCGAAACAGGUGUGUAAGGACUCACGUGGCUCGUGGCAAAAGGAUGGGGUGGCCAGGAGUAUUUUGGUAGUGACAGAAGGCUGGUGCCAGGGGACAGGGAAUCUCUAGCUUGGAGCCACCUGCGCUUCUGGCCAGCACAUCCUUCUUCAUCUUGCUGUGUGCCUCGCAGCUUAAAAGUUAAGUGUAAUAACCCCAGCCGAGAAAACAAAAC
ensembl:lncRNA